rnacentral:rRNA from 1 species
UAGAGUUUGAUCAUGGCUCAGAUUGAACGCUGGCGGCAGGCCUAAUACAUGCAAGUCGAGCGGAAACGAUGGAGCUUGCUCCAGGCGUCGAGGCGGCGGACGGGUGAGUAACGCGUAGGAAUCUACCCAGUAGAGGGGGAUAGCCCGGGGAAACUCGGAUUAAUACCGCAUACGCCCUACGGGGGAAAGCAGGGGAUCUUCGGACCUUGCGCUAUUGGAUGAGCCUGCGUUGGAUUAGCUUGUUGGUGGGGUAAAGGCCUACCAAGGCGACGAUCCAUAGCUGGUCUGAGAGGAUGAUCAGCCACACUGGGACUGAGACACGGCCCAGACUCCUACGGGAGGCAGCAGUAGGGAAUAUUGGACAAUGGGGGCAACCCUGAUCCAGCCAUGCCGCGUGUGUGAAGAAGGCCUUAGGGUUGUAAAGCACUUUCAGUAGGGAGGAAGGCCAUAAGGUUAAUAUCCUUAGUGGA